GUCAUCGAAGAACACAUUGCUUACAAUACACGGUCACGGUCGUAAUAUUAAGUUUUAUACAAAAACAGUGUGAAGUAAGAGUAUGAGUGUCUCAAUAAUCUUCCAUAGAUGACAUACGGCAAACUCAGUGUGUGUAUGUAGCGGUAUGUAGCAUGAAAGCCGUAAAUAUGUGUAUCUAAGUGCGACGCAUUAAUAUUAGAAAUGAAACACAACAUUUGGGUACAUUUAGUCCGCGGUAGUCCAACGAAAUCAUCCGAUUUCAAUGUCCUGUUUUAUUUGUUUGAGCGACGUCUGGAACUGGAAAAGAAUACCCAAUACGAAUUGAAUGUGUAGAAAAAAGGCAAAAUGGAAAAUUCAAAAAAAUGACACAGCUGUCAUCAAUAUAACACCGUUUCGACUCAUGGUCACCAUACCAGUUAUUGAACCAUUCGACAAUGGCAUCGACGAAUGUAAGGCGCCACUAUCAAUCAAAACCAUCGUCCCCACGCGAAAUUCUUCGAUGGACCGUAUAAUCUCUGACAACAAUGCAGUUUGAUCAACAACAACAAGCGACGGUAUCACAACUGAGCAAAAUAAUCAUUUAGUCAUCUAUAAUUGCAAAGGUUGUGGUCAAUUGAUGCAGGUCACCGGCACUUUUUCAUUAAAUAUAUCAUUUUUAUUACAGUCAAUUUUCGAGAAACAUUUUUGAAGCAAUUGCUUCUAGAAAAUUGACUGUAGCCAAAAUUGAUGAUUUUACACCGUUAUCAAUGCUACGUCGAGCUGUACGACUCUUAUAGGUGAACAAUGAAGCUACAAUUCAUGAACACACAAAACAUGUUUAAAUGGAUAUUCAGUCACCGUGUUUAGCCUCAAAUUCAAUCAUAAUAUAUAAAUUAAAUAUUCUGGACGCAUUUAAUUACAAUCUGACCAAUGAUCCGUUUA